GCGGGCGUAGCUCAGGGGUAGAGCACAACCUUGCCAAGGUUGGGGUCGCGAUUUCGAAUCUCGUCUCUUGCU
rnacentral:tRNA from 2 species